rnacentral:rRNA from 1 species
GAUGAACGCUGGCGGCGCGCCUAACACAUGCAAGUCGAACGAUUAAAGCACCUUCGGGUGUGUAUAAAGUGGCGAACGGCUGAGUAACACGUGGGCAACCUGCCCCUUUCAUUGGGAUAGCCACGGGAAACCGUGGAUAAUACCGAAUACUUCGAGACUUCCGCAUGGAAGACUCGAGAAAGCUCCGGCGGAGAGGGAUGGGCCCGCGGCCUGUUAGCUUGUUGGUGGGGUAACGGCCUACCAAGGCAAUGAUGGGUAGCUGGGUUGAGAGACCGACCAGCCAGAUUGGGACUGAGACACGGCCCAGACUCCUACGGGAGGCAGCAGUGGGGAAUCUUGCACAAUGGGCGAAAGCCUGAUGCAGCGACGCCGCGUGCGGGAUGAAGGCCUUCGGGUUGUAAACCGCUUUCAGCAGGGAUGAGGCGAAAGUGACGGUACCUGCAGAAGAAGCCCCGGCUAACUACGUG